rnacentral:misc_RNA from 1 species
UUUCAUGAACGUGCUUGGCUUAAGCUUGGCUCUAGCAUUUAUUUACAGUUUUCAGAUUGGCUAUGUCAAAGUAGGUCAAGCUGGUGAAAGUUUCAAUAUCUAAAAACGUGGCGGUGAGACUGACAAGGUCAUUUGAUGAGAUAAGGUUUGCUGUAUUUUUGCGAAAGCUGGCUUAGCUAGAAAUCAACGCUCUGUUUGGGUAUAGGAAAG